rnacentral:tRNA from 1 species
GUGGAUAUAGUUCAAUCGGUAGAGCGACUGUAUGUGGAUCAGUCUGUUCCCUGUUCAAGUCAGGGUAUUCACC